rnacentral:rRNA from 1 species
UGAAGCCGGAAUCGCUAGUAAUCGUGGAUCAGCAUGCCACGGUGAAUACGUUCCCGGGCCUUGUACACACCGGCCGUCACACCCCGAGAGUUUGUAACACCAUAAGUGGGUAGGGUGAGCUUUAUGGGGCCAUCCGCCGAAGUUGGGACAGAUAAUUGGGUUGAAGUCGUAACAAGGUAGCCGUAUCGGAAGGUGCGGCUGGCUCACCUCCUUUCUAAGGAA